AUUGAACGCUGGCGGCAGGCCUAACACAUGCAAGUCGAACGAGUGGCGGACGGGUGAGUAAUAUAUGGGAAACUGCCUGGUGGAGGGGGAUAACUACUGGAAACGGUAGCUAAUACCGCAUACUAUCGGAUUGGCCCAUUUGGGAUUAGCUAGUAGGUGGGGUAACGGCUCACCUAGGCGACGAUCCCUAGCUGGGUUGAGAGGAUGACCAGCCACACUGGUACGGAGACACGGCCCAGACUCCUCCGUGAGGCAGCAGUGGGGAAUAUGGCACAAUGGGCGCAAGCCUGAUGCAGCCAUGCCGCGUGUAUGAAGAAGGCCUUCGGGUUGUAAAGUACUUGCAGCGGGGAGGCGGUACCUGCAGAAUAAGCACCGGCUAACUCCGUGCCAGCAGCCGCUGUAAUAC
rnacentral:rRNA from 1 species